rnacentral:lncRNA from 1 species
GGAACAGCCCACUUCCUGAACACAUGAGCCUGAAAGCACAGCCUCUGCAGCUGAGAAUCAGAAGCAGAGGGCGCCCUAACUGGGAUUCCUAAAUGUCACCUCCUAUGAAGAUAGCAGAAGCUGGCCGUUCCCAGACACUGGAACAGAUACGUGACCUGAGAGACCUGCGUGUGGAAGGGCCGUGAUGAGUGCGGUACAGAGGGAAGCAGCGUUCUUCUGUUCCUCCGAGCCUUUCAUCUCAAUUUGAACCAUCCUCUUCAUAACGUUCCACUCUCUUCUCUUCUCCAUCUCGUCCUCUUGACAAUAUCUUCUUUUCUUUUGCUUUAUUUCUGCCCCCUCACCUCUCGCUCUUCCUCCCGUUCUCCCACUGUGAGCCGAGGUGUAAUAUAUCCGUAGCCCAUGUGUGCUGAAAUCUUUAACAUUCUUUCUUCUGCAGAAAGCCAGAGCUGGCACUGUACUGCAUGUACUCAUCAGACACCACUUCUUUAUCUGUCACUCUCUUGCUGCGAGUCAGAGAUGCAGCGGCAGAAUCAGUCGGCUUUGUCCCAAUGCUGUUUUGACACUGCGUUGGUGUGCUUCGCAGUGGCAGGACAUUGAAUCACACAGACAAUCGGAGCGUUGAUCUGACCACAGGCUGUGAUCUCUGUGACCUUUCCAGGGGUCAGCUGGCGGCCAUGGCGACAGAGGGGUCAGUCUGCGGCCUCGGUUCAUCUCUCGGUCAACAUCAGGUCAGAUUUCGGUCAACAUCAGUGGUGUGUUCAAGACCC